AAGUCGUAACAAGGUUUCCGUAGGUGAACCUGCGGAAGGAUCAUUACAGUUGGGGCCCCGCCCGACUCAAGAUACCAACCCUUGCACUUUUGAGUUACUCUGUUCUUCGCGGGCCGGCCCGCCCAAUGGGGACCACGAAGAAACCUCUUGCAGUUGCAGUAAACGUCUAAACAAACAAAAAUCAAAA
rnacentral:misc_RNA from 1 species